UAGUGUCACAGCUCUUUUAGGAUUUGCCUAGCAGGUUUUUCCGUUUUUACUGGAAAGCCACG
ensembl:snRNA U7 U7 small nuclear RNA